ACUACGGGAGGCAGCAGUGAGGAAUAUUGGUCAAUGGACGCAAGUCUGAACCAGCCAUGCCGCGUGCAGGAAGACGGCUCUAUUAGUUGUAAACUGCUUUUGUACGAGGGUAAACGCAGAUACGCGUAUCUGUCUGAAAGUAUCGUAAGAAUAAGGAUCGGCGAACUCCGUGCCAGCAGCCGCGGUAAUAAUGAGGAUUCAAGCGUUAUCCGGAUUUCUUGGGUUUAAAGGGUGCGUAUGCGGUCGGAUAAGUUAGAGGUGAAAUCCCGAGGCUCAAUUUCGGAAUUGCCUCUGAUACUGUUCGGCUAGAGAGUAGUUGCGGUAGGCGGAAGGUAUGGUGUAGCGGUGAAAUGCUUAGAGAUCAUACAGAACACCGAUUGCGAAGGCAGCUUACCAAGCUACUUCUGACGUUGAGGCACGAAAGCGUGGGGAGCAAACAGGAUUAGAUACCCGGGUAGUC
rnacentral:rRNA from 1 species